GCCAGGCGUGGUAGCGGGCGCCUGUAAUCCCAGCUCCUUGGGAGGCUGAGGCAGGAGAAUCGCUUGAACCCAGGAGGCGGAGGUUGCAGUGAGCCGAGAUCGCACCACUGCACUCUAGCCUGGGUGACAAGAGCGAGACUCUGUCUCAA
rnacentral:SRP_RNA from 1 species